UCUUUUUAAGGACGUCGUCUCAAUUUUCUCUCCAUCUAAUGAGGUGGGAAGGAGCAUUGGACAAGACAGGUAGUCACUCUUGGACUCUGUGCCUCUUCAUGGAUGGGAGGCCUAUGAAGAAUGUCUGUGGAUUAGUCAUUUCUUCUAUUUAUGUGGACUGGAUUUGUCACCCCAGUGAGCCAAGCAAGGACCCUUAAUACCAUCUUGGAAUUCCCAGGAUCUCAGAGAAGAGCUAAUGCCCUGGCAUAGUGCUCGGCAGGUGACAGGCAGAACCUCCAGAAGGCUUAUUUGAAUACACACAGUUGGGACUUCCCUGGUGGCACAGUGGUUAAGAAUCUGCCUGCCAAUGCAGGGGACAUGGUUUCGAUCCCUGGUCAAGGAAGAUCCCACAUGCCACAGAGCAACUGAGCCUGUGCGCCACAACUGCUGAGCCUGUGCUCUAGAGCCCACGAGCCACAACUACUGAGCCUGCACACCACAACUACUGAAGCCCAUGUGCCUAGAGCCCAUGCUCCACAACAAGAGAAGCCACCACAGUGAGAAGCCUGGGCACUGCAGUGAAGAGUAGCCCCCACUCAGUGCAACUAGAGAAAGCCCAUGUGAAGCAAUGAAGUCCCAAUGCAGCCAAAAAUAAAAAUAAAAUAAAAUAAAUUUAUAAAAAUAUAUAUAUAUGUCCACAAUUUAAAAAUACUAAAAGAAAAGAAAAACGAAUACACACAGUUAUGGUCCCAUUUAUAUAAAGUUCAAGAAUAGGCAAAACUGGGACUUCUCUGGUGGUCCAGUGGUUAAGAAUCUGCCUUCCAAUGCAGGGGAUGUGGGUUUGAUCCCUGGUCGGGGAAUUAAGAUCCCACAUUCUGCGGGGCAACUAAGCCUGCGCGCCGCAACUACUGAGCCUGCAAGUUCUAGAGCCUGCGUGCCACAACUAGAGAGCCCAUGUGCUGCAACUACUGAGCCUGUGCGCUUUGGCAUGGAACGAAAGAUCCCUCAUGCCGCAACAAAGAUCCUGCGUGCCACAACCAACACCUGACACAGCCAAAUAAAUAAUUAAGAAAAUAAAAUAAAAUUAAAAAGGUAGACAAAACUACUAUAGAGGUACUGAGUGGGUGGGGCUCACAGGAGUCAGGUGUGGUAUUG